GAUGAACGCUGGCGGCGUGCUUAACACAUGCCAGUCGAACGGAAAGGCUCCUGCUUGCAGGGGUACUCGAGUGGCGAACGGGUGAGUAACACGUGGGUGAUCUGCCCUGCACUUCGGGAUAAGCCUGGGAAACUGGGUCUAAUACCGGAUAGGACGAUGGUUUGGAUGCCAUUGUGGAAAGUUUUUUCGGUGUGGGAUGAGCUCGCGGCCUAUCAGCUUGUUGGCGGGGUAAUGGCCUACCAAGGCGUCGACGGGUAGCCGGCCUGAGAGGGUGUACGGCCACAUUGGGACUGAGAUACGGCCCAGACUCCUACGGGAGGCAGCAGUGGGGAAUAUUGCACAAUGGGCGCAAGCCUGAUGCAGCGACGCCGCGUGGGGGAUGACGGCCUUCGGGUUGUAAACUCCUUUCGCUAGGGACGAAGCGCAAGUGACGGUACCUGGAGAAGAAGCACCGGCUAACUACGUG
rnacentral:rRNA from 1 species